GAUCUAGCCAUGCCGCGUGAGUGAUGAAGGCCCUAGGGUCGUAAAGCUCUUUCGCCUGUGAAGAUAAUGACUGUAGCAGGUAAAGAAACCCCGGCUAACUCCGUGCCAGCAGCCGCGGUAAUACGGAGGGGGUUAGCGUUGUUCGGAAUUACUGGGCGUAAAGCGCGCGUAGGCGGACAUUUAAGUCAGAGGUGAAAUCCCAGGGCUCAACCCUGGAACUGCCUUUGAUACUGGGUGUCUUGAGUUCGAGAGAGGUGAGUGGAAUUCCGAGUGUAGAGGUGAAAUUCGUAGAUAUUCGGAGGAACACCAGUGGCGAAGGCGGCUCACUGGCUCGAUACUGACGCUGAGGUGCGAAAGUGUGGGGAGCAAACAGGAUUAGAUACCCUGGUAGUCCACACCGUAAACGAUGAAUGCCAGUCGUCGGGCAGUAUGCUUGUCGGUGACACACCUAACGGAUUAAGCAUUCCGCCUGGGGAGUACGGUCGCAAGAUUAAAACUCAAAGGAAUUGACGGGG
rnacentral:rRNA from 1 species